rnacentral:rRNA from 1 species
UUAUGUGCCAGAGGAUGGGGCUGCGGCCGAUCAGGCCGUUGGCGAGGUAACGGCUCACCAAACCUUUGACCGGUACGGGCCAUGAGAGUGGUAGCCCGGAGAUGGACACUGAGAUAGGGGUCCAGGCCCUACGGGGCGCAGCAGGCGCGAAAACUCCACACUGUACGUAAGUACGAUGGGGUUACCUCGAGUGUAGUCUGUAAAAGAUUGCUUUUCCAUAGAGUAAUAUCCUGUGGGAAUAAGAGGGGGGCAAGACUGGUGUCAGCCGCCGCGGUAACACCAGCCCCUCGAGUGGUAGGGACUUUUAUUUGGCCUAAAGCGUUCGUAGCCGUCUGUAACCGUUGCCCGUUAAAUCCAGCGUCUCAAGCGUUGGACUGCGGGCGAUACCUUACAGAUUGAGGGUGGGAUAGGUAAGCGGUAUUUCUGGGGUAGGGGCGAAAUCCUUUGAUCCCAGGAGGACCACCAGUGGCGAAGGCUGCUUACUAGAACACGCCUGACGGUCAGGAACGAAAGCUGGGGUAGCGAACCGGAUUAGAUACCCGGGUAGUCCCAGCUGUAAACGAUGCGCGCUAGGUGUUGGGUCGGCCAUGCGCCGCCCCAGUGCCGCAGGGAAGCCGUUAAGCGCGCCGCCUGGGGAGUACGGCCGCAAGGCUGAAACUUAAAGGAAUUGGCGGGGGAGCAC